rnacentral:rRNA from 1 species
GAUGAACGCUGGCGGCGUGCUUAACACAUGCCAGUCGAACGAAGCACUUUAUUUGAUUUCCUUCGGGACUGAUUAUUUUGUGACUGAGUGGCGGACGGGUGAGUAACGCGUGGGUAACCUGCCUUGUACAGGGGGAUAACAGUUGGAAACGGCUGCUAAUACCGCAUAAGCGCACGGCAUCGCAUGAUGCAGUGUGAAAAACUCCGGUGGUAUAAGAUGUACCCGCGUUGGAUUAGCUAGUUGGUGAGGUAACGGCCCACCAAGGCGACGAUCCAUAGCCGACCAGAGAGGGUGACCGGACACAUUGGGACUGAGACACGGCCCAAACUCCUACGGGAGGCAGCAGUGGGGAAUAUUGCAAAAUGGGCGAAAGCCUGAUGCAGCGACGACGCGUAAGCGAAGAAGUAUUUCGGUAUGUAAAGCUCUAUCAGCAGGGAAGAUAAUGACGGUACCUGACUAAGAAGCACCGGCUAAAUACGUG